UCAAGAAACUUCCACAAUGGGCGAAAGCCUGACCCAGCAACGCCGCGUGAAGGAUGAAGUAUUUCGGUAUGUAAACUUCGUAAGAAUAGGAAGAAUAAAUGACGGUACUAUUUGUAAGGUCCGGCUAACUACGUGCCAGCAGCCGCGGUAAUACGUAGGGACCAAGCGUUGUUCGGAUUUACUGGGCGUAAAGGGCGCGUAGGCGGUGUGUCAAGUCAGUUGUGAAAUCUCCGAGCUUAACUCGGAACGGUCAACUGAUACUGUCACACUAGAGUACAGAAGGGGCAAUCGGAAUUCUUGGUGUAGCGGUGAAAUGCGUAGAUAUCAAGAGGAACACCUGAGGCGAAGGCGGGUUGCUGGGCUGAUACUGACGCUGAGGCGCGAAAGCCAGGGGAGCAAACGGGAUUAGAUACCCAUGUAGUCCCUGAGCGGGCUGGCAAGGCGCAU
rnacentral:rRNA from 1 species